GGAAGGACGGUGAAAAUCACAAGACAAGGUUGUUGAAGAAGCUUAGCAUAUUGGAAAGGUUAGUUUGUUCAUUUUUGUGUUGAGGUUUAUGUCUGCACUAUACAGGGUGUGUCAAAAAAAACUGAACAGAUUUAAAAUUGCUCUCAAUUUCGCAAAACACCUAUUUGUAUCUGGCUUUUUAUAUAUAUAGCUUCUUUGGGUACUUAUAAUGUAAAAUAAUGAAAAAAAUUUCUCGAACUCAAAUUUUGUGAACCAGGGGGGUGUGUCUUUUCCGACGAACUAAAAAUGGCUCGCGCACAAAAUUUAAAAGCUGCAAUCAUAUUUUGAGUUAACAGAUGAAAAAUUUGUCGGGAUUUUAAUUACGGUACAAAAUUUCAGACAAUUUGGUUUAGUUUAAGCCCCUUAACUAUUCACACAAAUUUACAAUUUUCCUGAAAAAUCAGCUAUUAUUGCAUUUGCCUAAUUUGCAUAUGUCAGCAAUAUGCAAAUUAGGUAAAGGCAUUAAUUAAGCAUGCGAAAGGCUGACUUUUUAGAGCAAAAUGAAUAGUUAAAGGGCUUAAACUAAACCAAAUUGUCUGAAAUUUUGUACAGUAAUUAAAAACCUGACAAAUUUUCAAUCUAUCAACUCAAAAUAUUAUUACAGCUUUUAAACUUUAUGCGCGAGCCAUUUUUAGUUUGUUUGAAAAGACACCCCCCCCCCUGGUUCACAAAAUUUGAGUUAGAGAAAUUUUUUUCAUUAUAUUACAUUAUAAGUACCCAAAGAAGCUAUAUAUAUAAAAAAACAGAUACAAAUAGGUGUUUUGCGAAAUUGAGAGCAAUUUCAAAUCUGUUCAGUUUUUUUUGAUACACCCUGUAGAUCAGAAAAAAUACUCCAACAAGUCUCUAUUUGCCAGAAUAAUUUCCCUAGCUUACAAUACAGGGUGUAUAAAAAAAAACUGCACAUAUUUGAAAUUUGCUCUUAAAUUUGCAAAACAGCUAUUAGUAUCCAGUGUUUGAUGUAUAUAGCUUCUUUGGGUAUGUAUAAUGUAGAAAAAUGGAAAAAAUUUCUCGAAUGCAAAUUUUGUGAACCGGGGGGAGGGGGUGUCUUUUCCAACAAACUAAAAAUGGCUUGCGCAUAAAAUUUAAAAGCUUUAAUCAUAUUUUAAGUUAAUUUUUAAUAGAUGGAAAUUUUUUGGGUGUUUAAUUACUGUACAAAAUUUCAGACAAUUUGCUUCAGUUUACGCCCUUUAACCAUUCACGCAAACUUACAUUUUUUCUCAAAAAAUCACCAUUUGCAUGCUAAUUAUGCCUUUAUGCCUUUGGCUAAUUUGCAUAUGUCAGCAAUAUGCAAAUUAGGUAAAGGCAUUCAGGGGCGUAGGAAGCACGGGGGGCACGUGCCCCCCCAAAUUUUUUUAAAGGACUAAAAGUGCCCUUUUUUGUGAUAAAAAGUGCCCUUUUUGUGUUGAAAAGUGCCCUUUUUUGUGAGGAAAAGUGCCCCUUUUGUAGAAGCUAAUGUCGCUGUAAAUACUAAAUUAAAACAAUAGGUGCCGUUUUUGUGUGGAAAUUUACAAAUUUUUUUUAAAAAUUAGGUCACAAACAUAAAUUUCGGUAUGAUACGACGGAAAAUUUUCCUCAGGAGAAAUUUCUCCCCCCCCCCCUACAAGCCGGUGCCCCCCCAAACUCCAGGUGCUUCCUACGCCCCUGAAGGCAUUACUGUCGUUCCAAUUGAAGUGUUCCUCAAAUAUUGAUUCAAUACAUUACCUCGGGCUGACCAAUUCAUUUCAUCAAGUUCCUCGAAAUAUUCAUACACUUCCUGUGAAAGAGCCAAUUCCAAGAAUUUGAUCAUUUUUGGUCACUUCCUUUCUAUUUAUGAUUGGUUAGUUGCACAAACAACAAAGGUGAUUGGUGCAUUCAAACUAUUCAACAGGAAGUUUACAAUUAUACUAGGGAGUGUAUGAAUAUUUCGAGGAACUUGAUCAUGCAAAUGAAUUGGUCAGCCCGAGGUAAUGUAUUGAUCAGAAUCAAUAUUUGAGGAACACUUCAAUUGGAACGACAGUAAUUAAGCAUGCGAAAGGCUAAUUUUUUAGAGAAAAAUGAAUAGUUAAAGGGCUUAAACUAAAGCAAAUUGUCUGUCAAAAUAUGAUUAAAGCUUUUAAAUUUUGUGUGCAAGCAAUUUUGUGUUUUAGUUUGUUGGAAAAGGCACCUGGUUUACAAAAUUUGAGUUCGAGAAAUUUUUUCCAUUUUUCUACAUUAUAAGUACCCAAAGAAGCUAUAUACAUAAAAAACUGGAUACUAAUAGCUGUUUUGCAAAUUUAAGAGCAAUUUCAAAUCUGUUCAGUUUUUUUUAUACACCCUGUAUUAUAAGCUAGAGUAUGGCAAGUACAGUAUUUAGUGUUUAGGUAAUUCUAUUGAAUAUAAAAACUUUCUCUCCUGUGUUGUAAUUGGGGUGAGGUAGACGCACCUGUUGUAAUGAACAUUAAUACUCAACAGAUUGUGAUUUAUUUUCAGCUACCGCAGUGCCUGUGUUUCCACAUCAACCGUACAUAUUGGCAGAAUAAUGGAGUGCCUUACAAAAAUAACACCUUUGUGACAUUCUCAGAAAGUCUCAAUACCGAGCCAUAUCUCUACACUAACAACAAGGUCGAUCAUAAAAUUCCAAGAAUGUCUGGGCUAUGUUCCAGUCAAGAUAUGUCCACAGAAGAACAGAGGACAACUUCUCAUAGCAGG